UCCAGCACGUUAAUACGAAUUGGGAUUUGGUGGCCUCACACGCAUAGGCUCACGAUCCUCACAGGGGAGAGGGAAGACGCCACGAUUUGCAUUUUACCGACAGGAGGCGCAGGAACUUGCCGGAGAUCGCAGAGCAGGUUCGUGCCCAGGUGGUGGGAAGCGACUCUCAGACUGGGAGAGACACUGCCGCCCUGUCCAGCCAGUUGUUUUCCCCGGGGCUCCUGCUUCCGGACGGCCUUCCUAGACAAGAGAGCAGGCUGGGGCGGCCCUGCCUCCCAAGGGCCGCGCUGAGUGCCCAGUGCACCCCUUCACUCUGCACUCUGCCCCAGCGGACCCCCUCGGCCGCCUCAAGUUCACGGGCAGGUGCGCUGGGGGGCGGGGCACGGAAGAGCGGGCAGCUCCUCCCGGUUAGAGGCGCUCCUCCCGGCCAGGCCCUGGGCCACGAGCGGUGGGCGGAGGACAGGGACCCAAAUGCAGAGAGGACGGUCCGGCUGGAGAGACGGCUGAGCGAAGGGCUGCAACAGUGGGGUGCGAAGACCCUGAGAGCAGCACCUCCCGCCCACGUGGGGGUGGCCAGGAGGCGAAGAGCCUUUACCCAGAGGGUUCUCAACUGAAUGACAUUGUCAAAGAAAAGCCAGGAUCCACUAAGGCAAGAAGUAUUAAAAGUAUUUUAGGGAAAGUCAUUUAAAGCUCUAUAAGAUUGUAUUUUUAUGGAAUCUUCUAGAUUCUUCCCCUGGAAUCAGAGUUGGAUUUUCCAUUAAGUGAAUGAAGCUCAAGUUUCAGGGCCUCUCCCUCGCUUUCUACGGCCUGUUCAUAAUUCCCUAUUUGUAAUUAUUUAAACUGCCCCACCCUGAUUAUAUAACUUUUAGGUCCCACAAAAGCUUAGCCAGUCUCUGCCUUUGAACUCCACGGGUUGGGAGGAUGAACGAACUUCCACGUUUUGAUUUCCAAACAAUUUCCCUACCCUUGCAUUGUUAAAAGAUAAGCAGGAAUAAGUGUUCUAGCUGUGAGUGAAUUUUUUUUCUUAACAUGUUUUGGCCUGGAUACUAUCUGAAGGUCUUACCCAAGCAGCUGGGUGACUUUGGUGAGGACACAGUUACCCCAUACUCCCCAGCUCAGGGUGAAGGUUAGGUGGCACGUUGGCAGGACAUGUGACUCACAUGUACAGGUGUGUUCCGUGGGAGGAAGGCUUGGAACAGGCACCUGUGUGUGCCCAAGUGUUUCUAGCAAACACGGGGACUUGAGUGUCUAAGCACAGGCCCACUUUACAGGGGUCUCCUGAGAACUCCUCCCCCUCCUGGGAACUGUGCCUUCCCAGCCAGAAGUCACUCAUACAGAAUGUUCCCAACUUAUGAAUGGGCAUUGUUCUCAGAAAGAGAAUUUGUACGGGAAGGCAUCUCCCCAGAUAAACAAGUGUAUGUGUGAUCUUUGUUAUUCAGGAAAGCCUAAAAGAACAUCUUGUGUCCCAGAAAUCAAGGACUGUACAAUGGUAACAGAAAACUCCAGCUGGUGGAAUCAUGUGGCCCUCAGAAAAUGCCUUCCAACUUCUAGCCUGAGAUCCUGGGAAUCUUCUCUGCUGUCACAGACCUUCUGUAAGGAGGGACGCUUCCCAGCUCCACGUCCCUGAUGUGGCUGCCAUGGCCUGGGGCAGAGGCCAGUGAGGAGAAGUAGCUGGGUGUAGGCAGCCAGGCCCUGGGGGCUGGGGGGGCAGAGUCCAUUCCCAGAGAUCCUUUCAGAGUCCGCUCCCUGUCCAUGUCCUCUGAGGGCCCGGGGUGGGCCUCCUUGCCUUUGCCUUCUUGAAGUUUCCUUGGCCGGGAGCGGAGGCUCAUGCCUGUAAUCCCAGCACUUUGGGAGGCCGAGGCGGGCAGAUCACUUAAGGUCAGGAGAUCAAGACCAGCCUGGCCAGCAUGGUGAAACCUCGCCUCUACUAAAAAAAUACAAAAAUUAGCCGGGCGUGGUGGCACGUGCCUGUAAUUCCAGCUACUCAGGAGACUGAGGCAGGAGAAUCGCUUGAGCCUGGAAGGCAGAGGUUGCAGUGAGCUGAGAUCAUGCCACUGCACUCCAGCCUGGGUGACAGAGUGAGACCCUGUCUCAAAAAAAAAAAAAAAAAGAAGAUAUUUCCUAAGUCUUUGAUUCUUAGGACAAAGUGGUAAACAGACUGGGGACUUAAGAAAAAAAAAAAAGACUCCCAUGUGGUGGGGGUGGAAGGUGGAAUGCUCAUUUUUCAGGUACUGGCCUCUUCUCAGGAAAGACCAAGACCAACAUAGAGAAGGAUGGUGGAUUUCUGGGUAUACAAAAGACCAAACAAAUCCAGAUCAUCAAGAUCUAACCAUCUGCCGAGGAAUUUAUGAGAACGUGAGGAGCUCCUCUCACCUUGAUGAGCUCUUCAGCCCCUCCACUCGUGGACUUAAACCGCUGCAAAGUCAUGCAAUGGUGGACGCAGCCCUGACCAGAAGCCCCUCCUGGGAAUCUGGGACGAGGACCAGGAGAGAUUCAGAGUCCCUUCCUGGGGCUGCAACCGCGUGAGAGAGAGACACCUCAGAGGAGAGAGGAGGAAGGGAGAGAGAUCCAGAGGUGUCCAGGUCAGCUCCUGAAGACCCUGGCGUCUUUGAGACUCUUGGGACCCUCAUGUCAUACUCCUUCUUCAUAAUCUGCCUCAAAUUGGUUUCUAUUACUUGCAAUUUUGAUAGAACAAAUGAGAUGAUGGACCAGGCAGUUAAUCACAUCAUGCCUCAGUUUCCUCGUCUGUUCAUGAAGAAACAUCAUUCAUUAUUCACUCAGCAAAUAUCUAUUGAGUGCUUUCUUUGUGCUAGGCCUGUUGUGGGUGAUGGCAGGCAUAGCAGGGAACAAAAGAGAUAUCAGGAAUUCCUUUAUGAAAUGUAACUGCUGCUAAGAAGGUCUCUGCAAAUAAAUACACGAAAGACAGAACUUUCAAAUCAGGGACCAGCCGAAGAGCUGGCUGACCCAACAGGCAGAGCACCAAUAUGGGAUGGGGCCAGGGCCACUUAAACCAGUACUCACUGCUUUUGGCUUCACAGUAAGAUUGGAUCAAAAGGGUUCACCUUUUCUAUAGUGUCUUUUCUUUCACGUCUUUCCUUGGGCCCCUGCUGAAGGCCCCUCCUGAUAUUCUGUUGAAAGCCUCCCCACCACCCGGUUUCCACACCAGCAAACCCUCUCUUGCCCCGAGUGAUUUGAGUCUGUUCUUUCUCUCUCUCUCUCUCUGUCAAUACUGCAGUUGCCUUCUGGCUUUGGCUGUGAGCAGCUUUCAGUCUAUUUUCAGUUCUCCUGUGGAGCAGCAGAUAAUACACAUACAUCUGUAAUUCUUAAAAUCUCAUUUGAACCAUCCCUCCUCCCACCCAGUUGUUUAUCAAAACGACUUAGAAGGCCUAAAUUAACUGAUUUGGCUCUGUCUUCUGCUGCUGCUUCUGGUAGGGUUGCAAAUGAGCAGCGUGAAGGCCAAAAGGCCUGCAGCAAGAGGGAGGAAGCAAGGACUGGAGAAUCUACGUGAGGAAUGCCCAAACUCCAACAAGCUAGAAAAUUCACUGUGGAUGGGCUUCCGUCUUCCACACUGCCCGAUGCCUGAUCCUCACUGCCGGGCCCAAAUCUUCUUACUUCAGAGAAAAAUGGGCAAGCUCCCAUACUUCUUAUGUAAAACCAGAAUUAAAGCACCCACCCUUUACUUACUGUUUUAGUAUAAACACAAUGCAGAGAUUCUUACAUAAUAAAAAACUAACAGUAACACUUAGCAACCAUGGCUCACAGCCCUUCUCAGCUCCCCAACAUUCCUUCUAGAGAUAUGAAGCCUGUCAUCACCAGCCAGGCAGAGGACAAACAUUUCCAAUAAAGACAGACAACCCAGGCUCUGCAACGUCUCAGCCAGAAGUGUUGAGUUGUUUUUAAUGUUUUACAUACUCCAUGCCUCUGGUGCCUCUCCACCUCCACCCCCAAAUUAAUGAAAAGUAUUCAUUUCCAGACACACACACACACACAUACACACACACACACACACACACACACACACUGAGGUUCUCCCCAAAUCCAUGUACCCAGUGUCAGUGGUGUCUGGCAAUGGAGCAGAGCCUGUUUUAAGAUGGAAACACUAUUCUCCAAGCUGUCAGGGUGGUGUGGCUCUCUGCCAAGGAAUAGGCUUGCCUGAUAAACUACUGCACCUGUAAGAUCUCUGUCUCAUGGAGGACAUCUUGCUAGUUCCUAAAACUCCAGGGGAUGACAGAGCUUAAAUAAGAUACUAAUGAUUAAAGAGAGGAAGCAGGGCAGAAUUUCCAAGGCAAUAGCCAAUUUGAGGUUUCAAUACAAAGAGCAAGUUUUGUUUCUCACCUCCAAGGAUGCAGAGUGGAAGAGAACAAAAUGGGCUCUCCAUGUAAGGACUUUGAAUCCAAGUUCUGGAGAAUUUGUCCACCAUGCUUGGAUGAAUGGAAGCCUGCCCUAACCUCAACCAUACCUGUGACUGCCUUCCUAUCCUCCCAUCCUCUAGCUGUCCAUCUGUCUUUUUAUUAAAUGGAGGCAGUCAGGCAUACCUUUCUCUUAACUUUUGAAGAUAAGGCAAAGACAAAUAGCUUAUCACCUAUUUGUCUUUGAAGAUAAGGCAAAGACAAAGAACAUAUCACCUUAUGAUAGACAUUCAGGAAUUAGA